AGAAUCAACGCUGGCGGCGUGCCUAACACAUGCAAGUCGAACGAGAAAGUGGAGCAAUCCACGAGUACAGUGGCGCACGGGUGAGUAACACGUGACUAACCUACCCUUGAGUGGGGAAUAACCUCGGGAAACCGGGGCUAAUACCGCAUAACACCUACGGGUCAAAGGAGCAAUUCGCUUAAGGAGGGGGUCGCGGCAGAUUAGUUAGUUGGCGGGGUAAUGGCCCACCAAGACGGUGAUCUGUAUCCGGCCUGAGAGGGCGCACGGACACACUGGAACUGAAACACGGUCCAGACUCCUACGGGAGGCAGCAGUGGGGAAUUUUGCGCAAUGGGGGGAACCCUGACGCAGCAACGCCGCGUGGAGGAUGAAGUCCCUUGGGACGUAAACUCCUUUCGAUCGGGACGAUUAUGACGGUACCGGAAGAAGAAGACCCGGCUAACUUCGUGCCAGCAGCCGC
rnacentral:rRNA from 1 species